UACGUAGGCAGCGAGCGUUGUUCGGGGUUACUGGGCGUAAAGGGUGUGUAGGCGGUUGUUUAAGUUUGGUGUGAAAUCUCCCGGCUCAACUGGGAGGGUGCGCCGAAUACUGAAUGACUUGGAGUGCGGGAGAGGAAAGUGGAAUUCCUGGUGUAGCGGUGAAAUGCGCAGAUAUCAGGAGGAACACCGGUGGCGAAGGCGGGACUCUGGGCCGAUACUGACGCUGAGGAGCGAAAGCGUGGGGAGCAAACAGG
rnacentral:rRNA from 1 species